UGGCCAGACUCCUACGGGAGGCAGCAGUGGGGAAUAUUGCACAAUGGGGGGAACCCUGAUGCAGCAAUGCCGCGUGAAGGAUGAAGGUUUUCGGAUUGUAAACUUCUUUUGUACGGGACGAAGAAAGUGACGGUACCGUAAGAAUAAGCCACGGCUAACUACGUGCCAGCAGCCGCGGUAAUACGUAGGUGGCAAGCGUUAUCCGGAUUUAUUGGGUUUAAAGGGUGCGUAGGCGGAUUUUUAAGUCAGCGGUAAAAUGUCCGGGCUCAACCCGGGCCGGCCGUUGAAACUGGGGAUCUUGAGUGGGCGAGAAGUAUGCGGAAUGCGUGGUGUAGCGGUGAAAUGCAUAGAUAUCACGCAGAACUCCGAUUGCGGAGGCAGCAUACCGGCGCCCGACUGACGCUGAGGCACGAAAGCGUGGGUAUCGAACAGGAUUAGAUACCCCGGUAA
rnacentral:rRNA from 1 species